rnacentral:lncRNA from 1 species
UCCUUACCAUCCUCCUUACUACUACAAAUCGCCACCACCACCAUCUCCGGUUUACUACUACAAGUCACCACCACCACCGGCUCCAACCUAUGUCUACAAAUCUCCACCACCACCAACUCCGACUUACGUCUACAAGUCGCCGCCUCCUCCAACCCCAACAUAUGUCUACAAAUCGCCUCCUCCUCCUACCCCAACAUACGUAUACAAGUCUCCUCCACCACCAACUCCAACUUACGUAUACAAAUCACCACCACCGCCGACUCCAACUUACGUCUACAAGUCGCCUCCUCCACCUACGCCAACCUAUGUCUAUAAAUCUCCACCGCCACCAACCCCGACUUAUGUUUACAAGUCACCACCACCUCCGACUCCGACAUACAUUUACAAGUCUCCACCACCUCCUACUCCGACUUAUGUCUACAAGUCACCACCUCCACCAACCCCUACAUAUGUCUAUAAGUCACCACCUCCACCCACUCCGACCUACGUCUACAAGUCACCACCACCUCCAACUCACACUCCUACACCAUACUACUACCAUUCUCCACCACCACCAGUAAAAUCCCCUCCACCUCCUUAUUACUACCACUCACCACCACCACCGGUUAAAUCUCCACCACCACCAUACUACUAUCAUUCACCACCUCCUCUGGUGAAGUCUCCUCCACCACCAUACUAUUACCAUUCACCACCACCUCCAGUAAAAUCUCCUCCCCCCCCAUACUACUAUCACUCCCCACCUCCUCCAGUGAAGUCUCCUCCGCCACCUUACUAUUAUCACUCCCCACCUCCUCCAGUAAAAUCACCACCACCACCAUAUUAUUACCACUCUCCACCUCCUCCCGUGAAAUCCCCCCCACCUCCAUACUACUACCACUCACCACCCCCUCCGGUAAAAUCACCCCCACCACCAUAUUACUAUCACUCCCCACCUCCACCAGUGAAAUCCCCACCACCACCGUACUACUACCAUUCUCCACCCCCACCGGUAAAAUCUCCGCCACCACCAUACUAUUACCACUCCCCACCUCCUCCGGUGAAAUCUCUACCACCACCGUACUAUUACCAUUCACCACCUCCUCCGGUGAAAUCUCCUCCUCCACCAUACUACUAUCACUCACCUCCUCCACCAGUAAAAUCUCCUCCGCCACCGUACUAUUACCACUCUCCACCUCCUCCAGUGAAGUCGCCUCCACCUCCUUAUUACUACCACUCACCUCCUCCUCCGGUGAAAUCCCCACCACCACCAUAUUAUUACCACUCACCACCCCCACCCGUCAAAUCUCCUCCACCUCCAUAUUAUUACCACUCACCACCUCCUCCGGUGAAAUCUCCACCACCACCAUAUUAUUACCACUCACCUCCUCCUCCGGUGAAAUCUCCACCACCACCAUAUUACUACCAUUCACCUCCCCCUCCAGUCAAAUCUCCACCACCACCAUAUUACUACCAUUCACCUCCCCCUCCAGUGAAAUCCCCACCACCACCAUAUUACUACCAUUCACCACCUCCUCCAGUGAAAUCUCCACCACCACCAUACUACUACAACUCUCCACCACCACCAGUAAAAUCUCCCCCACCUCCCGUCUACAUCUACGCUUCUCCCCCACCUCCUACCCAUUACUAGGCUCGUCAAAUUCAACCAAGUUUCCCCAUUAUUCAAGUAAGUCCCAAGGCUCCAAUAUUCUAAGUAUGCUCCAUAUC